rnacentral:lncRNA from 1 species
GCCACCUAUGAUAGACUGAGGGGAUGUCUUUAUGGAUUGAUGUUGAAGAUGUUCCAGAGCAGGCUGAAGAUGACCAACAUGAGGCAAUAUAUUCCAAUGUGAUCAACCUGACUACCCAGAAGGAAGAUGAUUUUGUCAUUUAUACCAAUGUGCCCCGCUUCCAGUGCCCCCGGAAAAUCUCCCCUAUUGUCACCUAGGCUCCGGACCAAGUGGAACAUGCUUCCAUUGUAUUCCUCUGAUGGGAGACCAGAAGAAUGUUCUGGAAUGAGUUGACAAAGGUGGUGGCUUGAUUAUUAUUUGCUUAUUGAUUAGCAUGAUGAGAUGUAUUUUUUUUUAAACUUCUUACCAGUUCUCAUACUC